UAAAUCAGAUUCGUCAUCUUAACAUUUAGACAACGAUGAUAACUGAUUAUCGUUGUUAUAUAUUAAAAACUCAUUGUGUGCUAGAUCAUUGAUACGUAAAAAAUUCGACGGUCGAUUGACAGUAAAGUGAAAAGUCGAAAUAUGGAAAAAUUUCAGAUAAAUGAUCCAUACCGCGGAUCAGAUAGAAGUUUUUAAUAGAAGCUUCUUUUGAAAUAAGACUCUCCUUCAUUAGCUAGCGGUUAAAUUAAGCGCGUCAUUCAAUAAAAUAAUACUAUCGUUUCCCGAUUGCUAUUUGCUAAGCCAUUCUGGCGAUCGUGUUGGAGCAGGUAAUUCAUUCAACUACUACGCAUAACAGCAAACGAACAGGAAAAUAUUACGUUACGUAUCGAUCAAGCACGGAAUUCCAUUUUCCAACUGGUGUUCGCGCGAAAAUUCAUUCGAAGCGCAAAUACACGUUUAACAGGAAAAUCCACCGAGUCAGCGAAAGCGUAAUAACUUCGACGAGGAUAUCUGCAUUUAAAAUCCUCGCGUUCGAUUCACAGAAAGACGCAUUUCAUUUUUAUUUCAUAUUCGAAUUAACUCUGGAACACGUUUCUACUUCGAAACGAAUAUUAAUUAACUUCGGUACGUUGGAACUGAUACCCUUAAAUAGAAACGCGUAGAUACUGCUAGUAGUGAUUUCGUUAUGUAAUUUUAGCGUCUGUAGAGCCGAAGAUUCAUAUACACCGAAUUUAUCUCAGGAACAAGCGUCAACAUGGAUAAUAUACCUUACGCGCGGGACGUGCAUGUGACGAACGUUAUCGGUGCUAAUAAGAAGCGUACCUAACGUAAUACGUAGAUCGUAAUUAUUUCAUCGAUGCGCAACGUUUAUUCAAAAUUUAUCGAUUCCUCCAACGAACUCGCUGUAUUUUUAAUAAAAACAGAGACAGAUGAUAGCUACGAGUCGAUUAAUCAUUUCUAACCUGUUUCCUGUUUCGAUGGUGUACAUAUUUUCGUCAUUUUUAUCAACCUUUAUUUUUCCAGACUGCCUUCGAUGGAUAAAAAUGAUUUAUUAUUAACGGAUUUGAUAAAAUAUUGGUCUCGUGCAAUUUUUAUCGAUCGAGGAACAUUCAUCCUUGAUUUUUAAUUUUAAUCGAUCCAUGCUUCCAAAUCAUGUUUGACCUUUCCACUGAUCCUUAGAUAAACAUGUUAUCAAACAUUUCGUUGUCUUUACAAAGUACGUAACGUGACUAACCAAGGAAGUAAUCCAGCGGAAAUUCCGUAGCAGCAUCGAUCUCGCGAUACUCACUUGUAACAGGAAAAUCUUUGUAUUUUGUCGAUUCCUCAAUUCCUCUGAUACACGUGCUUUUUCCUUUUCGCUCGAUAAGCGUAUUGUAGCAGAAAUAGUUCGUUAUGUUCCAUUGUUAGCUCCAACAAUGUUCCUUAAUUAAUCGCAGUUUAUUCGAAUGAACCAAAUUCUUUAGGGCAAGCGACUUUUAAACUCGAGUCAGGGUUCGUUGGCCCGAACCCAGGGACCCAACAAAAUAUGUAUUCGUGAAGUGAUAUUCAAGAAGAUUCAGAAUCGACGCGGGAAACGAAGUCGAGGAAGUGGCGUAGAUACAGCGCGUGCGCGAGAAAAAUUUCAACCGAUUCGAGUUUAUACCACUCUCUUCACUUAUCAAGCGAACAACAAAACAUUCGUUGAUUACUGCGCAGCAGUUCAAUAUCAAAGGUUCUAAAAGAACAAAAAUAUGGAAUCGUUGUUAAGACCAGAAUCUUGAAACACAUUAACGAUGUGAAUUUUUUCAAAUUUGACAUGUAUUUGAUAAAAUAUAACAAGAAGUAGAAUAGGAACUUUAUAUACGUGACGAUUCCUACAUCGUAUAGAAUCUUUUUUAAUCCCAGAAAAGUACAGAAAAUAUCGUUGUUAUUUUCUUAAAUAUACAAAUAGAUUGAUAAAAAUGAACACCUUGUAUAUGAUUGAAGGUUCUGUUUAUACAUGAAGCAUGAUGGCGAGGCUUGCACGUGAGAGAGUCAAAUCGAGGACGAAGACGAUUGAAAUGAGGAAAAGUAACGGGGCGAAUAACGGGUUGAAUUUAACGCAUCUUGCCGUUACGAGCACAUUUGUAAACCUAGUUGUUAGGUUACAGUGGAUCGUGUAACUUCACAAUCGAAUGCAUAUUAAUAAUAUACACUUGUCUCAGUGUUCACGUCUAUUACCGGUUUGCAGACGGACAGACGAUUUACAUGAGAUUGUAAACAAGAUAAAUAUCGAUUUGUUCCACAAUAUUUUCAUUUUAGGUUGGUGAAUUUUUAGUGGCCUUGCUUUCGAUAAACAAGCUUGACGCUAUCUUUUCUUGGUAUCGUUAGCGAUGACGGUGUACGUCUUCUCUAGAAUCUUAAAUAUGUCUAUGCCAGAGAAAAUGAAGUAGUCAUUGAGUUUCCAAGAACACUGUUACUUUAUUCUAAGAAAUUUGUGACACUACAAUCUGUAUGAACGAGUUGAUGUAAUAGGAUUUCCGGAAUCCCGUUAACCAUCACGUUUAAGAUAAGAUACAUUUUUAUUAUGACCUUUGAUUAUUUUCUUAAAAGAAGAAAAAAAACUGACCUCGGAACUUAAUUUACAACAUUGUUUCUAAAUUUAAUCUGAAGGAGUGAAAACAAUAUUAAUAAACGGCAACAUUAGCAAAAGUUGAAAUAUUCACGUUUGUUACAAAUAUCUUCUUGCAACAUUAUACCUUUUGUUGUUUUACUAAAAUAUAAAAAUAGAUAAAAUUUUCGUUCUCUCUUUUUGAUGUAUAUCAAUUACAUACCAAUGUUAAUAAGUGCUUAUGCUUUAAUGUUUUCUCUGUUUAUGAUAAUGUGGCGAUUAAAACUUUUAAAUAAAAUUAUAAACUAUUACAAUUUCAAUAUUAAAAGAUUUACACAUAUAACUAGAAGUCAUAUUGAUCAAUUACAUAAAUUAGAAAAUAAAACAAAAUUAUGUUACAAA